rnacentral:rRNA from 1 species
UACGAAGGGGGCUAGCGUUGCUCGGAAUUACUGGGCGUAAAGCGCACGUAGGCGGUCUUUUAAGUCGGAGGUGAAAUCCUGGAGCUCAACUCCAGAACUGCCUUCGAUACUGGAAGACUUGAGUCCGGGAGAGGUGAGUGGAACUGCGAGUGUAGAGGUGAAAUUCGUAGAUAUUCGCAAGAACACCAGUGGCGAAGGCGGCUCACUGGCCCGAUACUGACGCUGAGGCACGAAAGCGUGGGGAGCAAACAGG